GAUGAACGCUGGCGGCGUGCCUAAUACAUGCAAGUCGAGCGAACAGACGAGGAGCUUGCUCCUCUGACGUUAGCGGCGGACGGGUGAGUAACACGUGGAUAACCUACCUAUAAGACUGGGAUAACUUCGGGAAACCGGAGCUAAUACCGGAUAAUAUAUUGAACCGCAUGGUUCAAUAGUGAAAGACGGUUUUGCUGUCACUUAUAGAUGGAUCCGCGCCGCAUUAGCUAGUUGGUAAGGUAACGGCUUACCAAGGCAACGAUGCGUAGCCGACCUGAGAGGGUGAUCGGCCACACGGGAACUGAGACACGGGCCAGACGCCUACGGGAGGCAGCAGUAGGGAAGCUGCCGCAAUGGGCGAAAGCGGGACGGAGCAACGCCGCGUGAGUGAUGAAGGUCUUCGGAUCGUAAAACUCUGUUAUUAGGGAAGAACAAAUGUGUAAGUAACUAUGCACGUCUUGACGGUACCUAAUCAGAAAGCCACGGCUAACUACGUG
rnacentral:rRNA from 1 species